GAUGAACGCUAGCUACAGGCUUAACACAUGCAAGUCGAGGGGCAGCAUGAACAAAGCUUGCUUUGUUUGAUGGCGACCGGCGCACGGGUGCGUAACACGUAUCCAAUCUGCCCGCGGCUCGGGGAUAGCCCAUCGAAAGAUGGAUUAAUACCCGAUGGUGUGGUUUCUCCGCAUGGGGUUUCCACUAAAGGUUUUCCGGCCGCGGAUGAGGAUGCGUAUGAUUAGGUAGUAGGCGGGGUAACGGCCCACCUAGCCUUCGAUCAUUAGGGGUUCUGAGAGGAAGGUCCCCCACACUGGAACUGAGACACGGUCCAGACUCCUACGGGAGGCAGCAGUGAGGAAUAUUGGGUCAAUGGCCGGGAGGCUGAACCAGCCAAGUAGCGUGAAGGAUGAAGGUUCUAUGGGUCUUAAACUUCUUUGUAAGGGAGCAAUAAGGCGCACGUGUGCGUCGAUGAGAGUACCUUACGAAUAAGCAUCGGCUAACUCCGUGCCAGCAGCC
rnacentral:rRNA from 1 species